rnacentral:rRNA from 1 species
AGAUUAAGUUAUUAAGGGCGCACGGUGGAUGCCUUGGCACUAGAAGCCGAUGAAGGACGUUACUAACGACGAUAUGCUUUGGGGAGCUGUAAGUAAGCUUUGAUCCAGAGAUUUCCGAAUGGGGAAACCCAGCAUGAGUUAUGUCAUGUUAUCGAUAUGUGAAUACAUAGCAUAUCAGAAGGCACACCCGGAGAACUGAAACAUCUUAGUACCCGGAGGAAGAGAAAGAAAAUUCGAUUCCCUUAGUAGCGGCGAGCGAAACGGGAAGAGCCCAAACCAACAAGCUUGCUUGUUGGGGUUGUAGGACACUCUAUACGGAGUUACAAAGGACGACAUUAGACGAAUCAUCUGGAAAGAUGAAUCAAAGAAGGUAAUAAUCCUGUAGUCGAAAAUGUUGUCUCUCUUGAGUGGAUCCUGAGUACGACGGAGCACGUGAAAUUCCGUCGGAAUCUGGGAGGACCAUCUCCUAAGGCUAAAUACUCUCUAGUGACCGAUAGUGAACCAGUACCGUGAGGGAAAGGUGAAAAGCACCCCGGAAGGGGAGUGAAAUAGAACCUGAAACCGUGUGCUUACAAGUAGUCAGAGCCCGUUAAUGGGUGAUGGCGUGCCUUUUGUAGAAUGAACCGGCGAGUUACGAUUUGAUGCAAGGUUAAGCAGUAAAUGUGGAGCCGUAGCGAAAGCGAGUCUGAAUAGGGCGUUUAGUAUUUGGUCGUAGACCCGAAACCAGGUGAUCUACCCUUGGUCAGGUUGAAGUUCAGGUAACACUGAAUGGAGGACCGAACCGACUUACGUUGAAAAGUGAGCGGAUGAACUGAGGGUAGCGGAGAAAUUCCAAUCGAACCUGGAGAUAGCUGGUUCUCUCCGAAAUAGCUUUAGGGCUAGCCUCAAGUGAUGAUUAUUGGAGGUAGAGCACUGUUUGGACGAGGGGCCCCUCUCGGGUUACCGAAUUCAGACAAACUCCGAAUGCCAAUUAAUUUAACUUGGGAGUCAGAACAUGGGUGAUAAGGUCCGUGUUCGAAAGGGAAACAGCCCAGACCACCAGCUAAGGUCCCAAAAUAUAUGUUAAGUGGAAAAGGAUGUGGCGUUGCCCAGACAACUAGGAUGUUGGCUUAGAAGCAGCCAUCAUUUAAAGAGUGCGUAAUAGCUCACUAGUCGAGUGACACUGCGCCGAAAAUGUACCGGGGCUAAACAUAUUACCGAAGCUGUGGAUUGUCCUUUGGACAAUGGUAGGAGAGCGUUCUAAGGGCGUUGAAGCAUGA